ensembl:lncRNA
GAUGCCCGCCCACACCUCGCCUCUUCUCGAACGGUCGCGCGGCUUCUCGGACCUGCCGAGUCACGGCCAGGCGAGUCCGCGGGGGCGCACUGGGCGCGGCGGGGCGUUUCCCCGCGCGGGGCGCCCGAGCCGCAGAGCUGUCCGUACGGGCGGCGGCGAGAGCAGCUAGGCGCUGAUUUUGGAGUCAGAGGUGAACCUGAGCAAGAAGGAUGCUGCUCCCCUUGACUUGCUCCUGGACGACGCCGGGGACCCCUGCACGUCGCGCCUGUCUCACUCCUGCCACCUUGUGGUCAGAAGGAGGCAUGACACCAAUUUGAACAGGACCCGACCCAAGAAGCCAAGUCGGGUCAGGCUCUGUUCUGCGAGAUGGAAUCCCACACCGAGUGUCCCUCCGCCGGGCUUCUCUCACCGAGCGCCGUGUUUCUGAGGUUCGAAGGCCCCGCAGCUGUCUCAGCGCUUCGCCCCUUUCCAUGGAGGAGCCGCGUUCCACUCUGUGGAUGAGCCUCAUGAGUCUACCGGUCCGUCGGUGGCCGGGACCACUUUGCACGCAGACUCUUCUUCACAGUUGGCUGAUGGGGGACUUGCCACCCGCUCUGCACUUUGCACAAUGGACUUGGGGGCACACCCGAGGGGCCCCUCCUAGAGACACUGUGUCUUCGAGACCGGGUGGGGCUGCCUUGUCGUCCGUACUGGGUCCCCCGUGCCAGCCCUCUGCAGCCCCGGCCGGGUCGUGAGGUGCUGCUCUGGCCGCACCCUUCUUGGCUGUUCUCUCACCCCUGUGCGGGCAUGAUGGGUGGGUGCCCCGAGCCGCGCGAUCGCGGACUCGCGGGGAGCAGGUGCAGGUCCGUGCAGAUGUGAACUCUCCUUGUAGUUGCAGAAGUCGCCGCCGAGGUCGUGAGGAGCCCUCGGAGCACGACCUUCAUCUCCCGCUCCCUCCUGCCACCCACCGGCGUGGUGCCCUUUUGCCGAGGUGACCCCUCGAGGGCAGUGUUAUCAGCCUGGAACCCCCACAGCCCUGCAGGCAGGGGGCUUACUCUGCCUGCUGUCCUCAGCCCCACACAGC